GCAGUCGUGGCCGAGUGGUUAAGGCGAUGGACUCGAAAUCCAUUGGGGUUUCCCCGCACAGGUUCGAAUCCAGUCGGCUGCG
rnacentral:tRNA from 1 species